UACGUAGGGGGCGAGCGUUGCCCGGAAUUAUUGGGCGUAAAGAGCUCGUAGGCGGUCCCUUAAGUCGGAUGUGAAAUCUCAGGGCUCAACUCUGAAAUUGCAUUCGAUACUGGUGGACUUGAGGUAGGUAGAGGAGAACGGAAUUCCUGGUGUAGCGGUGAAAUGCGCAGAUAUCAGGAGGAACACCGGUGGCGAAGGCGGUUCUCUGGGCCUGUUCUGACGCUGAGGAGCGAAAGCGUGGGGAGCAAACAGG
rnacentral:misc_RNA from 1 species